rnacentral:lncRNA from 7 species
GUUCUAGCACGGCGCCGGCGCCGCUCUAUGGGCCUGGCGCGAGCCGGGGGCACGGCGGGGGGGGGCGAGAGGCGGCCGAUCCAACAGUCACGUUACAGAGGGCCAAAGAUUUGUAUCUAUUACACUACGUCGGAUGCCUGAGCGCUUUUCAAACUGUUCACAAACACUGACGUGCAGCAAGAAAUCCUCCUUGUGCCACCAGCUGCUGGCCUUCAUUGAACUGAGACACAACGCAUUUAUUAGAAAAGAAGAUGAAUGUAACCAAAACUUAUACUGAGAAGAGGCGAGGACAUCUGCUGUGGCAGGUACACCACUGACAAAUUGGAAGACCAUGAAAAAGUGCUUGAGAAGAAUCCCUUUUGCUCAACGAGACUUGGGGAAUUAAGUCUUACUGGGACUCGGUGACAUAAAAAGACAUUAAAAGAUGAGCCAGGAUAAAGAAGAAUGGAAAUCCUUGUUUAUUCCAUAAGUAAGAUUUAAUGUCAUGGGAAAUACUUGGAGAUGGAAGAUUCUGUUGCCACCUGUUCCUGUUUUAUAAGGAAAUCAGGAACACAUGAUAACAAAAGAAAAAGUGCUUCAUCAUUUAUUAGAACUUUUGUAGAGACUUUCAUCCCAGUAGGGACCAGAGGGCUUUUUUCAGUGAAAUCCUAUUUGCUUCAAUCAUAGGCAAUUUAUCAGAGAUUACUUUGUAAUAUCUCUGAAUAGCUGUAACAUUCCAAAGAAUGGAAAUUAAAUCAUCUUUUCAGGACUCUACUUAUAAGCUCUUGUGUGCUUCUUUCUGUCAUGCUGUCAACUCAUCCUGGUUUCAGCUGAAUCUCAAAAUAAAUAGAUUCAGAAGAG